AGGACUGAGGGAUAUGCUUAGAAUGAGAAAAAUACUCGAAAAAAACAACCAAUCAAGAAUGAAGAUAAUAGGUUUUUCUUUAACGUUCGCGCAUAAUAAUUCCGCGUCUUUUCAAGGUUACGUUCGUUAAAAGUUAGGUCCUUCAAUCUUUCUUGAUU
rnacentral:sRNA from 1 species